UCUCGUUAACCCCCUACCAUUGUAGAAUACCAGAAAAACGAUAUAGGUUCUAGCUACAAAUAAGUAUCAUAAAUAUGAAAUAGCUGUUGCAAUGACUCAUGAUCACUGGUUUGAUACUUGAAAGAUAAUACUGGCUCAGAAUUUAUGGACAUUCACCAAAAUGUCCAUAAUAAGUUGAGAACUAGUUUCCAGACUAACCGAAGGCUGAUGCCGAACAACUUUGAGAACUAGAUCAUCUGUCCUAAGUAGAUGCAAUUAUGGGGCUUUCUCAGGAGGAUGGCUUCAUUCUUGGUAGAUUUAGUUUACUUGCAUUUUCAAAUUAAUUAGAACUACUUUACUUUUGAUCAUCUAAUGAUUUGAUGAUCUUCUUUUGAUAAUAUAGUUAAGGAUCAUGUCAUAUUUUAGCUAUGCUAGUUUAGUUGGUUAGUUUACUGGAAGCAAAAUAUGCUUUUCUUUCUUUAGCUAAAAGGUUUCUGAUAGAACAGGAAACUUGUUUUAGCUCACAUAGAUCCAAACUAGUGGACAAUCAGAUUUUUUUUAAUUUUUCUUGUUUAUGCAUUCAUGAUGUUGCUAAGGUUGUUACCAACCUGAUGUUUGUUGUUAUAUUUAAACAAUUUGGCUUAGGGUUCCUGACACAGCCGGAAGCAAACCAAGGUUCUAUUUUAGUUAAUUUCCCAUUGCAAAGACUCCUUCAGAGAUUCCAACUACUUAAUCUAGGUUUAUUUGUUCAUGCAACAACAUUUAAUAUGUACUCAGCAAUGUACAGGUCUGUGCUUGGAAUUUAAAUUGCAGAAAUUGGUCUGUUGCAACUGUUUUUGUUGAUAACAAGAGGGAUUGUGCUUGACAGAGAGAUGGUUUAUUCAUUGCAGCGGACCACCCAUCUAUCACACUUGGUGUUGCAGCUGGUUCUUCAUUGCUUGCACUGAAAAUACUGACGGGUCACAUUUGAGGCGGAAACUUUAUCUGGAUAUUGCCGAGCAUUCCAUUCAAGAAGAGCAGGGUUGACUUAGCUGUUUUUGCUGAUUCUAUUAUUGUUGGCGGAACUUGUGCUAUUGCCAA